UGAUGCACGACGUCUGACGGAGCAACGCCGCGUGAGUGAAGAAGGCCUUCGGGUCGUAAAACUCUGUUGCCGGGGAAGAACAAGUGCCGUUCGAACAGGGCGGCGCCUUGACGGUACCCGGCCAGAAAGCCACGGCUAACUACGUGCCAGCAGCCGCGGUAAUACGUAGGUGGCAAGCGUUGUCCGGAAUUAUUGGGCGUAAAGCGCGCGCAGGCGGCUUCUUAAGUCUGAUGUGAAAUCUUGCGGCUCAACCGCAAGCGGUCAUUGGAAACUGGGAGGCUUGAGUGCAGAAGAGGAGAGUGGAAUUCCACGUGUAGCGGUGAAAUGCGUAGAGAUGUGGAGGAACACCAGUGGCGAAGGCGGCUCUCUGGUCUGUAACUGACGCUGAGGCGCGAAAGCGUGGGGAGCAAACAGGAUUAGAUACCCUGGUAGUCCACGCCGUAAACGAUGAGUGCUAAGUGUUAGAGGGUUUCCGCCCUUUAGUGCUGCAGCUAACGCAUUAAGCACUCCGCCUGGGGAGUACGGCCGCAAGGCUGAAAUCAAAAA
rnacentral:rRNA from 1 species